GACGAACGCUGGCGGCGUGCUUAACACAUGCAAGUCGAACGGAUAGGCCCUGCUUUUGUGGGGUGCUCGAGUGGCGAACGGGUGAGUAACACGUGAGUAACCUGCACUUGACUUUGGGAUAACUUCAGGAAACUGGGGCUAAUACCGGCUAGGAGCUCCUGCUGCAUGGUGGGGGUUGGAAAGUUUCGGCGGUUGGGGAUGGACUCGCGGCUUAUCAGCUUGUUGGUGGGGUAGUGGCUUACCAAGGCUUUGACGGGUAGCCGGCCUGAGAGGGUGACCGGCCACAUUGGGACUGAGAUACGGCCCAGACUCCUACGGGAGGCAGCAGUGGGGAAUAUUGCACAAUGGGCGGAAGCCUGAUGCAGCAACGCCGCGUGCGGGAUGACGGCCUUCGGGUUGUAAACCGCUUUCGCCUGUGACGAAGCGUGAGUGACGGUAAUGGGUAAAGAAGCACCGGCUAACUACGUG
rnacentral:rRNA from 1 species